rnacentral:rRNA from 1 species
GACGAACCGUGCGAACGUUAUUCGGAAUCACUGGGCUUAAAGCGCGUGUAGGCGGGACGGCACGUCGGUCGCUGAAAUCCCCCGGCUUAACCGGGGAACGGGCGGCGAUACGACCGUCCUGGAGGGGCGUAGGGGGACCUGGAACUUCCGGUGGAGCGGUGAAAUGCGUUGAGAUCGGAAGGAACGCCCGUGGCGAAGGCGGCAUCCUGGACCGGCAUUGACGCUGAGGAGCGAAAGCGUGGGGAGCGAACAGG